GUCGGCCUACGGGGCGCGGCAGUGGGGAAUAUUGCGCAAUGGGCGAAAGCCUGACGCAGCGACGCCGCGUGAGGGAUGAAGGUCUUCGGAUCGUAAACCUCUGUCAGCAGGGAAGAACGGUCACUGUGCUAAUCAGCAGUGAAUUGACGGUACCUGCAAAGGAAGCACCGGCUAACUCCGUGCCAGCAGCCGCGGGAAUACGGAGGGUGCGAGCGUUAAUCGGAAUUACUGGGCGUAAAGCGCUCGUAGGCGGGAUGUCAAGUCAAGGGUGAAAUCCCCGCGCUCAACGUGGGAACUGCCUUUGG
rnacentral:rRNA from 1 species